rnacentral:rRNA from 1 species
AACGAACGCUGGCGGCAGGCCUCAAGCAUGCAAGUCUAGGGGGUGUAGCAAUACAUCACCGGCGGACGGGUGCGUAACACGUGGGAAUAUACCUUUUGGUUCGGAACAACGCAGGGAAACUUGCGCUAAUACCGAAUGUGCCCUUACGGGGAAAGAUUUAUCGCCAAAGGAUUAGCCCGCGUAGGAUUAGCUAGUUGGUGAGGUAAUGGCUCACCAAGGCUCCGAUCCUUAGCUGUUCUGAGAGGAAGAUCAGCCACACUGGGACUGAGACACGGCCCAGACUCCUACGGGAGGCAGCAGUGGGGAAUUUUGGACAAUGGGCGGAAGCCUGAUCCAGCCAUGCCGCGUGAGUGAAGAAGGCC